UUCCGGUUGAUCCUGCCGGACCUGACUGCUAUCGGAUUGAUACUAAGCCAUGCGAGUCUUUGCAGUAAUGCAAGGCAUACGGCUCAGUAACACGUAGUCAACUUACCCUAUGGACGAGGAUAAUCUCGGGAAACUGAGCAUAAUACUCGAUAGAUCAUAAUGCCUGGAAUGGUUUAUGGUUGAAAUGAUUCGUCGCCAUAGGAUGGGACUGCGGCCUAUCAGCUUGUUGGUGAGGUAAUGGCCCACCAAGGCGAUUACAGGUACGGGCUCUGAGAGGAGAAGCCCGGAGAUGGGUACUGAGACAAGGACCCAGGCCCUAUGGGGCGCAGCAGGCGAGAAAACUUUGCAAUGUGCGAAAGCACGACAAGGUUAAUCCGAGUGAUUUCUGCUAAAGAAAUCUUUUGCAAGUCAUAAAACCACUAGUGAAUAAGGGGUGGGCAAGUUCUGGUGUCAGCCGCCGCGGUAAAACCAGCACCUCAAGUGGUCAGGAGGAUUAUUGGGCCUAAAGCAUCCGUAGCCGGCUCUGUAAGUUUUCGGUUAAAUCCAUGUGCUCAACGCAUGGGCUGCCGAAAAUACUGCAUAGCUAGGGAGUGGGAGAGGUAGACGGUACUCGGUAGGAAGGGGUAAAAUCCUUUGAUCUAUCGAUGACCACCUGUGGCGAAGGCGGUCUACCAGAACACGUUCGACGGUGAGGGAUGAAAGCUGGGGGAGCAAACCGGAUUAGAUACCCGGGUAGUCCCAGCUGUAAACGAUGCAGACUCGAUGAUGCAUUGGCAUAUAGCCAGUGCAGUGUCGCAGGGAAGCCGUUAAGUCUGCCGCCUGGGAAGUACGUACGCAAGUAUGAAACUUAAAGGAAUUGGCGGGGGAGCACCACAAGGGGUGAAGCCUGCGGUUCAAUUGGAGUCAACGCCGGG
rnacentral:rRNA from 2 species